rnacentral:rRNA from 1 species
GAUGAACGCUGGCGGCGUGCCUAAUACAUGCAAGACGAGCGGAUGGAUUAAGAGCUUGCUCUUAUGAAGUUAGCGGCGGACGGGUGAGUAACACGUGGGUAACCUGCCCAUAAGACUGGGAUAACUACGGGAAACCGGGGCUAAUACCGGAUAACAUUUUGAACCGAAUGGUUCGAAAUUGAAAGGCGGCUUCGGCUGUCACUUAUGGAUGGACCCGCGUCGCAUUAGCUAGUUGGUGAGGUAACGGCUCACCAAGGCAACGAUGCGUAGCCGACCUGAGAGGGUGAUCGGCCACACUGGGACUGAGACACGGCCCAGACUCCUACGGGAGGCAGCAGUAGGGAAUCUUCCGCAAUGGACGAAAGUCUGACGGAGCAACGCCGCGUGAGUGAUGAAGGCUUUCGGGUCGUAAAACUCUGUUGUUAGGGAAGAACAAGUGCUAGUUGAAUAAGCUGACACCUUGACGGUACCUAACCAGAAAGCCACGGCUAACUACGUGCCAGCAGCCGCCGUAA